rnacentral:rRNA from 1 species
AGAGUUUGAUCAUGGCUCAGGACGAACGCUGGCGGCGCGCCUAAUGCAUGCAAGUCGAGCGACGCAUUCCUUGCCCGUAAGGGCGGGUUUGACGGAGCGGCGAACGGGUGCGUAACACGUGACCAAUCUGCCCCGAAGACCGGGAUAGCCCGGGGAAACCCGGAUUAAUACCGGAUGAUCUCACCAUGACGCAUGUCACAGUGAGCAAAGGUUCAGGCGCUUCGGGAUGAGGUCGCGGCCCAUCAGCUUGUUGGUGAGGUAACGGCUCACCAAGGCGACGACGGGUAGCUGGUCUGAGAGGACGAUCAGCCACACUGGAACUGAGAUACGGUCCAGACUCCUACGGGAGGCAGCAGCAGGGAAUCUUGCGCAAUGGGCGAAAGCCUGACGCAGCGACGCCGCGUGGGGGAUGAAUGCCUUAGGGUUGUAAACCCCUUUCACGAGGGAAGAAACUGACGGUACCUCGAGAAGAAGCCCCGGCCAACUACGUGCCAGCAGCCGCGGUAAUACGUAGGGGGCGAGCGUUGUCCGGAUUUAUUGGGCGUAAAGGGCUCGUAGGCGGCUUGACAAGUCGGCCGUGAAAACCCAGGGCUUAACCCUGGGACGCCGGUCGAUACUGUCAUGGCUAGGGUCCGGUAGA